UGAGGUAGGAGGUUGUAUAGUUGAGGAGGACACCCACGGAGAUCACUAUACGGCCUCCUAGCUUUCC
rnacentral:pre_miRNA from 2 species